UAUGCAAUAUCAAAACAAGAGUCUGAGGGCGGCGUGCAAGAAAACAUCUAAAAAAAAUUAAAAUAAUUACAUUAAAUGUAUAGUAAGGAUGAGAAUGGCGUACAACAAGGACAAAUCGUAUUAUAGCUCGUGUAUACGAGCAGAAAUGAAAUUUGACUGACCGAUGAUUUUAACAAUAAUUCAACCGGCACAAAGCGUGCUUGAAGGCGUUGUCAUUGUAAUAGACAUUUAUCGAGUUAUUAGUUGCAAUAAAUUUACAAAGUGGUUUUUGAAAUUUUUACAUACAAUUUUUAUGUUGAAAUUUAUUCAUUUUUGUUGAUUAUACAUGGUGCGUUUAAGCAUCAAUGUAGAUGAAAAAGAAUGUACAUUAACAUUGCUGCUAGCUUUAUCAGCUGAUUGUCACCUAAAAGCAACAUGUGAAGUAUGUGUUAGUAAAAGCAAUAGAGACAUCAACGAGUCUCUUACAAGAAUGGGAAAUAAAAGUAGUUGCUGUGUUAAUUCCAGUCCACAAGUUGGACGUAAAGAAUUAGGAUCUGAAGGAAUUACGCGUGGUCUUGAGGAACAUCUACCGGAAGGUGGAAUUAGCGUUAAUAAUUUACAACAUAUUAGUGAACGCGAACCAGAAGACUGGGAUUCAGAUCCAUCAUUACACCCUUGUGCUGGUACUAUUUUUAUGGAACGGUCUAAACAAGCUAUCGAAAAUGGCAUGGUAAGAAAAAAGAGUCAGCACCAAAUUGCAGAUGUAAGGUCUUUAAAAAAGAGUAGCAGUUGCAGUACAAUAUAUUUAGAUGACAGUACUGUUUCACAACCAAAUCUCAAAAAUACUGUGAAAUGUGUUGCCUUAGCUGUUUAUUACCAUAUUAAAAAUAGAACUUCACAGAGACAAAUUGAUAUAUUUGAUGAAAAGCUUCAUCCUUUAACGAGGGAAGGUGUUACAGAAGAUUAUGAUAAGCAAAAUCCAGAACACAAACAAAUUUAUAAAUUUGUAAAGACCUUAUUCAAUGCUGCUCAACUUACAGCUGAAUGUGCCAUCAUAACGUUAGUUUAUUUAGAACGUUUACUUACUUAUGCGGAAAUAGAUAUAACACCAGCCAAUUGGAAACGAAUUGUACUUGGAGCUAUUUUACUAGCAUCAAAAGUUUGGGAUGAUCAGGCAGUGUGGAAUGUGGAUUAUUGCCAAAUUCUUAAAGAUAUUACAGUAGAAGAUAUGAAUGAAUUAGAAAGGCAGUUUUUGGAAAUGCUACAAUUCAAUAUAAAUGUUCCUUCAAGCGUGUAUGCUAAAUAUUAUUUUGAUCUCCGCACACUUGCAGAAGCAAAUGAAUUAACAUUCCCUAGUGAACCACUCAGCAAAGAGAAAGCUCAAAAGUUGGAAGCUAUGUCCAGAGUUUACGAAGAUAAAGUUACUGCUGAAGCUUUACGUACCGGUUUUAAAAAAUGGUCAAGUUUAGAUAACAUAUGCAUAGGCGGACCUAGACGUAGUAUUGCCAUUCUAUCCUAAAUAUUGGAUAUAAGUGGAUAUAUUACUUAUGUCCAUGCCUUCUUAAUCAAGAAGAAAUCAAGAAAUCUG
rnacentral:misc_RNA from 1 species